rnacentral:rRNA from 1 species
AUUGAACGCUGGCGGCAGGCCUAACACAUGCAAGUCGAACGGUAGCACAGAGAGCUUGCUCUUGGGUGACGAGUGGCGGACGGGUGAGUAAUGUCUGGGAAACUGCCCGAUGGAGGGGGAUAACUACUGGAAACGGUAGCUAAUACCGCAUAACGUCUUCGGACCAAAGUGGGGGACCUUCGGGCCUCACACCAUCGGAUGUGCCCAGAUGGGAUUAGCUAGUAGGUGGGGUAAUGGCUCACCUAGGCGACGAUCCCUAGCUGGUCUGAGAGGAUGACCAGCCACACUGGAACUGAGACACGGUCCAGACUCCUACGGGAGGCAGCAGUGGGAAAUAUUGCACAAUGGGCGCAAGCCUGAUGCAGCCAUGCCGCGUGUAUGAAGGAGGCCUUCGGGUUGUGAAGUACUUUCAGCGGGGAGGAAGGCGGUGGAGUUAAUAGCUUCAUCGAUUGACGUUACCCGCAGAAGAAGCACCGGCUAACUCCGUGCCAGCCGCCGCAGUAA